CCACAGCUGCUUUGUUUGAGAUGCAUGACAUAGUAGUUAUGGAUGUAGGGCCACAAAAUGUGGUUCAAUUUAUCAAAGACAAUGCUACUUUUUGUGUUGCUGCUAGGAGACUUUUGACAGAUAAAUACCCCUCUAUGUUUUUUACACCAUGUGCAGCACAUUGCCUUGGUCUAACCCUAGAGGACAUUGGAAAAAUGAAUGGGUUAAGGACACAUUGCAGAAGGCUCACAAGGUUACCAAAUUUAUUUAUAAUCACAUGAGGAUUUUGACUCUAAUGCGUUCUUUCACAAGAGGCAAGAAGCUAGUUCGACCAGGGGUGACAAGAUUUGCAACACACUUCUAUACUUUGCAGAAACUAUGUGAGCAAAAAAGUGAUUUGAGGCGAAUGUUUGUUUCAGCUGAAUGGAUGAAAUUUGACUUCACAAAUCAAGCAAAUGGCAUAGCAGUGGCAGAGUACAUAUAUUCUAACAUCUUUUGCGAAUUGAUUGAACAAAUUGUAGAAUUUUCAGAGCCUCUAGUAGAAGUCUUGAGACUAGUGGAUGGGGAAAAACCCCCCAUGGGAUAUGUGUAUGAGGCCAUGGAUAGGGCCAAGGAGUAAGCUGUGAAAUAAUAGGGAGAGGUACUUGCUAUUGUGGAACAUAAUUGAUAGGAGAUGGGAUGGAUAGAUGCACAUUCCUCUCCAUGUUGCAGGAUACUUGGUCAAUACUUUGUUAUUCUGCAAGACUUCAUUCAUUGAUAUUGAUGCUGAGAUCAAACAAGGCUUCUACAAGUGCACGAACAAAUGUUUCCAAACAUGGAUAAAUUUGAUGCACCUAUGUUAGAGUUAGAAGUGUACAAGCAGGCUAAGAGUAUUCUCUCUUCUAGUGCUGCCAUGCAAGGUAGAAAGACCAUCCAACCAGGUAGACUCUAUAAACUUUUGAUAGUCUCUUUAUUUUGCCAACAUGCUCAUUAAGUUUGUUAAGAUUUUAAGAUAUUCUUAGUUUUACAAUAUCAUCUCCAUAUAAUGUGUUUUUCAGCUCAAUGGUGGGCUUCUUUUGGAGAUGAAUUACCAAAUUUAAGGUGGAUGGUGGUGCGCAUUUUGAACCAACCAUGCAACUCAUCACCUUGUGAGCAUAAUUGGAGUGUUUUUGAACACAUACAUUCCAAAAAAUGCAACUGCAUAACACAAGAAUGGAUGAAUGACUUGGCAUUUGUUCACCACAACCUCCACUUGAAGAUAAAGAAAGCUAAAGGAACUAUUAAGGAAGACGAGCCAAUUGACCUCGAUGAGAUAGGUCUAGAGUUGAGUUGAUUGCUGCAAAUGACGAUGAUACUCCACUUGAUCCUGAAGAUUUUGAUCUCAUGACGGAAGCCAACUUGGAUCGUGAAUGGGUUGAACAAGCUAGGUCAAGCUCUCACCUGGAGCUUCAUCAUCAAUGCCUCUUGCCCUCUAGCAUGUCAUUGCAUACAUUUGAUUUUUUGGAAUUUUGUACUUAGUUUAUAGGUUGACUUUGUACAAAGUCACAAACUAUAUUGUAAUUGACAUUUUGACAUCAAUGUAAUCAGCGAUAAGAAUAUAAACAACGAAAAUCUAUUUUCUACAA